UAUUUGCCGGUUAGUAUUCCUAUAACAGUUCAUAUCGUGGCAAUCUGUAUCGGCCACCAGCAAUGUUUGACAGCAAUAAAACCAAGGCAUGAAGACGAGCCCGCAAGCACACCUAUCAGCGGCCAGAAGAAAAGGAUAGGUCGUGACGUCAUCGGAGGUUUACGUCAAGCCACUUGAAUAGCUUCUAAACUACCCUAUUUGAGCGAAGCGAAAGAGCUCUUUCGCUUCGCUCAAAUCGUUGUCGCCGCGAAGCUCGAAGCCUCUGGUAACCAGGGUACUUCUAAACAAAAUAAUGAAAUUCACUAAGAGCUUUCAUCAAGUUUACUAAAUAUAGGCACAUCAGCAAUCAAGACAGGGCUAGGUGUGAGUGUUUUAAAUGUUCAUGAUGGAAAUUGCUUCUGAUGGAAAUUGUUUCUGAUGGAAAUAACUUUUGAUUUGUGCCAAAAGACGUUUUGACCGUGGUUUACACAAGUGUACUUCUGUUGGACGCAGGGUUUAUAACAUUAAGACAAUACAUAUAUCAAAAAAACACAUAUAAAGGAACAGGCACUAUACAAAAGAGAGGUGAUUUAGAUGUGCGGAAAAACGAAAGACGGAAGCGGAAAGACAAAAGUAUUUUGUGCAAUGAUAAAAGAUAUCAUAUAACACGAACACGAACUUUUCCGUAAAAAAAAGAGAUGAAAGAAUACAAGAGCGGGAUACUGAGGCUGCACGAUAAGACCAUCAACCCUGGUGCGUGGCUUUCAGAUAGGGGGCCCUGGCAUGUUCGAGGUUCCAGCGCGUUCUUUCUCCGGCGGCGAAAAGAGAAGCACAUGUCGCCUUGAGGCUCGCGAGGGUGUCUCGUACUAGACUGGCAUUAGCUUUGAACAGAGAACUCCCGAAAGCCGCCCGAUGACGUGGGCAACUCUUGAUGACUUGAAGGCGAGCCUCACAGUCAAUGAUUACGAAGGAUAUGUUUCUAAUUUAGAGGAUUUACGCCAAAUACAGGAUAUCAACACCGUCAAUCAAAACUCAAACUUGUCCUUUUUUGAUUUAGAGACGAGUCUUAUAUUUAGCCCAGUGAUUUACGUAGGUUUGGAGGGGUGCUACUAUAGACAACAGGGAUCGACAGCGAAUCCGACAUCAUUCAGAUCGCCUGUGUUCCAGUUGACGGGCAGGAUAUCUUCUCUAGGUACAAGAUGCCAUGAAAAAACAUUUUUGUGAUCCGCACAAUUGGCAUCACGCUAGCCCGGUCGCAGCUCUAGAUCCCACAUGCACUGUUAGUUUCAGGGAGUUAUUUUUACUCCACUCAGAGAGUAAAAACUACUCUUUGCGAUGGAGUACUUUUAAAGGAGUAAUUUGAACUCCUUUAUUGGAGUAAAAACUACUCCACUGAGGAGUAAUUUUUUUUGUUUACUCCGUUAACGGAGUAAGUUUUACUCUGCUGAGAAUUAGAAUCGAAGGUUUAUUAGAAAAAGAGUAAUUUUCACUCUUGUUGGUCAAAUAAUGGAGUAAAAAGUACUCUUUUCUGGGAGUAAUUUUAGCAGAGUAAAAGCUACUCCAACUAUCUGAAGUGAAAAGAGUUAUUUUUACUCCAGAUGGUCAAGAAAUGGAGUAAAAAAGUACUCCUUUUAGGGGGUAGGUUUUGAAGAGUAAAAACUACUCCAGCCAUCUCGUGUUGAAAGAGUAGUUUUUACUCCAGGCCAUCUCGUGUUGAAAGAGUAGUUUUUACUCCAGCUGUAUCUUUUUAGAGCAGUAACAAACCAC